ensembl:snRNA U6 U6 spliceosomal RNA
GUGCUUGCUUCGGCCGCACAUUUACUAAAAUUGGAAUGAUACAGAGAAAAUCAGCAUGGCCUCUGCGCAAGGAUGACACACGAAUUCAUGGGGUGUUCCAUUUGUAA